rnacentral:rRNA from 1 species
GAUGAACGCUGGCGGCGUGCCUAAUACAUGCAAGUCGAGCGAACAGAUGAGGAGCUUGCUCCUCUGACGUUAGCGGCGGACGGGUGAGUAACACGUGGAUAACCUACCUAUAAGACUGGGAUAACUUCGGGAAACCGGAGCUAAUACCGGAUAAUAUAUUGAACCGCAUGGUUCAAUAGUGAAAGAUGGUUUUGCUGUCACUUAUAGAUGGAUCUGCGCCGCAUUAGCUAGUUGGUAAGGUAACGGCUUACCAAGGCAACGAUGCGUAGCCGACCUGAGAGGGUGAUCGGCCACACUGGAACUGAGACACGGUCCAGACUCCUACGGGAGGCAGCAGUAGGGAAUCUUCCGCAAUGGGCGAAAGCCUGACGGAGCAACGCCGCGUGAGUGAUGAAGGUCUUCGGAUCGUAAAACUCUGUUAUUAGGGAAGAACAAAUGUGUAAGUAACUAUGCACGUCUUGACGGUACCUAAUCAGAAAGCCACGGCUAACUACGUG